AGGUAAAGACUUGAUUUAUGAUAUAUCUACCAACCUCUCCUUUGGUAAGUUUGUUAAAUUAUGUUUUGAUUGUACAAUGAUCAGUUUCGACCAUAACAAGCUCUGAUCACUGCAACGACGUUGGCAUGGUGCCAUGGCAAUGGCAGCGAAGAAGCUAGCAUGGAGAUUUGCCAGCGAGUUUUCACUGGGGGCUGCUGUUCAUUCAACCGGCAGAAAAAGAGGGGCGUUGCAGCGAAGGGUCAGUCAAGUUCAUGGACAGCACAAACAUGCCAUAUGGGAAAUGAGUAUUAGUUGCAGUGACUGAUCCAGUAUGCUUCGAAUUCCCUAAAUAUUGGGUUCUUGAUGCUACUCAAUCCUAUCGCAGCAGUGCUCGACACCAGGUCCAGUUGUUUUCUAUGGCUGGGAGAAAGGGUAGCAUCAAGACUGACCAUCUUUCAUUU
rnacentral:lncRNA from 1 species